GAAAUGCAUUUCCGCCUUUGUACCGGCCAGUAAUUUCAGGGAUUCCUUUCUGGCUUAUUCUUCUGUGUCUACAGCCGUCUGAAAUGUUAAUCCUAAAUUCAGGCCUGAGCGCUAGGUAUAUCAUAAAUAUUUACACGAUAUUACUAUCACUGUAAUUUCCCCUGACUAAGAAGACAGUGAUGUCUGUGUGGAUGUCACUGGCUCAUGCUUUUGGCAGUAAACUUUCCUUAUCACCGAU